UGAGGGAUAUUGCACAAUGGGGGAAACCCUGAUGCAGCGACGCCGCGUGGGAGAAGAAGGCCUUCGGGUUGUAAAUCCCUUUUCUGCGUGACGAGGAAGGACGGUAGCGCAGGAAUAAGUCUCGGCUAACUACGUGCCAGCAGCCGCGGUAAAACGUAGGAGACGAACGUUAUCCGGAGUUACUGGGCGUAAAGGGCGUGCAGGUGGCUGCUUAAGUCUGGCGUGAAAAGACCCGGCUCAACCGGGUAAGGUCGUCGGAGACUGGGGAGCUAGAGGGCAGUAGAGGCGUACGGAAUUCCGGGUGUAGUGGUGAAAUGCGUAGAGAUCCGGAGGAACACCAGUGGCGAAGGCGGUACGCUGGGCUGCACCUGACACUCAGACGCGACAGCAUGGGGAGCGA
rnacentral:rRNA from 1 species